CUGAGCGUGUAAAAACACUCAAAACCAUAGCGAACCUACCAGUGGGAUGUAUCGUUGCCUCGGCGGGCGGCCCCAGGGGGGGCCCGCGGCCCUAUGGUGCCCGCCGGAGCUACAAAAACUCUAGCUGUUUUAGUACCUUCUGAGGAACAAGCAAAUAAAGUUA
rnacentral:misc_RNA from 1 species